AGCGUACGCUGGCGGCAGGCCUAACACAUGCAAGUCGAACGAACCCUUCGGGGUUAGUGGCGGACGGGUGAGUAACACGUGGGAACGUGCCUUUAGGUUCGGAAUAACUCAGGGAAACUUGUGCUAAUACCGAAUGUGCCCUUCGGGGGAAAGAUUUAUCGCCUUUAGAGCGGCCCGCGUCUGAUUAGCUAGUUGGUGAGGUAAUGGCUCACCAAGGCUACGAUCAGUAGCUGGUCUGAGAGGAUGACCAGCCACAUUGGGACUGAGACACGGACCAAACUCCUACGGGAGGCAGCAGUGGGGAAUCUUGCGGAAUGGGCGAAAGCCUGACGCAGCCAUGCCGCGUGGAUGAUGAAGGUCUUAGGAUUGUAAAAUCCUUUCACCGGUGAAGAUAAUGACUGUAGCCGGAGAAGGAGCCCCGGCUAACUUCGUGCCAGCAGCCGCCGUAACAC
rnacentral:rRNA from 1 species